rnacentral:rRNA from 1 species
AACGAACGCUGGCGGCAUGCCUAACACAUGCAAGUCGAACGAGACCUUCGGGUCUAGUGGCGCACGGGUGCGUAACGCGUGGGAACCUGCCCUUAGGUUCGGAAUAACUCCCCGAAAGGGGUGCUAAUACCGGAUAAUGUCUUCGGACCAAAGAUUUAUCGCCUUUGGAUGGGCCCGCGUUGGAUUAGCUAGUUGGUAGGGUAAAAGCCUACCAAGGAGACGAUCCAUAGCUGGUCUGAGAGGAUGAUCAGCCACACUGGGACUGAGACACGGCCCAGACUCCUACGGGAGGCAGCAGUGGGGAAUAUUGGACAAUGGGCGAAAGCCUGAUCCAGCAAUGCCGCGUGAGUGAUGAAGGCCUUAGGAUUGUAAAGCUCUUUUACCCGGGGUGAUAAUGACAGUACCGGGAGAAUAAGCUCCGGCUAACUCCGUG